UACGUAGGGACCAAGCGUUGUUCGGAUUUACUGGGCGUAAAGGGCGCGUAGGCGGCAAUUCAAGUCAGCUGUGAAAUCUCCGGGCUUAACUCGGAACGGUCAGCUGAUACUGCUUUGCUAGAGUGCAGAAGGGGCAAUCGGAAUUCUCGGUGUAGCGGUGAAAUGCGUAGAUAUCUGGAGGAAUACCGGUGGCGAAGGCGACAUCCUGGACCGACAUUGACGCUGAGGAGCGAAAGCUAGGGGAGCAAACGGG
rnacentral:rRNA from 1 species